CUCCCAUCCCUGUGAGGUUGACGGUGAGAUAAGUGAUACAAUGUUUCAAUACUUGCAUUGGAGAAAAUAGCGUUAUGAGGUGAAAUUGAAUAGAUAAGUUAAAAAAAUAUAUUGACUAGCGUAAAUAGCUACUGCAGUUGUCACCCUCCCCGGCGGCCAUUGCCUGUCAGCUGAUGGCCGGACACAUGCUGGGCGGCAGGUUAAGUGCAAUAAGUCGUCCUGCGAGUGAUAAAUGAAGAUAAUAGCCGCGCCAGAGUGUUGCAGGAAGGGGAGCACCGCGUGUCUGGUAAAGGAGUGGUGUCAUUCACACACAAGGGAGGAGGGAGAGAUACAGAGGGCAGCAAACUCUAGGCCCUUCUGUUAGCCGUCAACGCCCCCCUGAAGUAGUUGUCUCUGCCUUCACUGUUGGUGCUUUAAGGUUAACAGCAUGCUUAUGUCAAGCCUGAGUGGUGUCCAAGGUGUUUGUGAAUGCAGGACACAGGAGGCAGCCAGUCCUUCCCACCUGAGUCAUGAGGAGCAGCUUUCACAUGGUAGAUAUGUAAUUUUUUUUCUUUGUAGCUGGUAUUGGAAUGGUUGUAGAUGGGGAACUUAGACACAGCAGGUAUGUUCAGACAUUUGAGUGAAGGAUUGCAUGCAGGAAAAAUUCUAGAUGCAGAGUUAGUCCUUUUGCCAGAAAUUCCUGAGGUAAAUGGUAUAAAUUCUUGCGCAUAGUUAUUUCUAGACUUCAUAACUUGGAGAAAUGUAAUAUUAUUCAGAAAUUUCUUUAACUAAAUAUCCUAUCUGUUCAUUGUUUUGAAAUAAACACAUGAUGUCACCUUAUCUCAUAGGUUCCAUUCUGUGUACCAGGUGUUCCCUUUCAUGAUUUGUGAAUUGCAUUAUUUAGUGCAUUUCAUUUCCUUGAAAAAAAUCCAUUUUCUAUUUUGCAUUUUAGUUACACUGAAAAUUAUAGGCAAACUAUGUGGUGCAGUGGUUAGCAUGCCUAGCUACAAAUCCAUGGGCCUGGGUUCAAAUCCUGGGCCAGGCAGUCUAAAGGGCCAGGGCCAAUGCAACAGAAAUCAGCAUUGUGGCCACGUGCAGCUCUACUGUAUGCUAUUGCUGAAAUUAUUCUGUACAUUAAACUCCAGGAAUUUCUAGCAAAAGCAGCAACUCAGUUUUGCCUAUCUAUGAUAUUUUCUAAAUGCAAUCCUUUCUUUAAAUGUCUGUAUAUUUAGGUGAGAUUCUCAUAAAAUGAAGUCUGUGGGCAUUGUCAGUUUGUGUCAUUCAUCAUGGAGGUAGUAGAGACUUUCAUAGGAAUUUUGUCAAUAUUAUGCAUAACCUUAAAUUGAUUUAUGGCUUUGUAUUGGUUGUGAUAGGUCAUUCAGUUUAAGCAAAUCCUCCAUUGUAUGUACUCUCACUCAUAUAUUAAUUCUUCCACACUGUAAUGCAUUCACUUAAGCUUGAUCCCUAGCUGAAUAAAUAAGGGUUCUGCUGAUUGGCAGGUGGGGUGUUUGAUGUUUCCGUUGCCCAACACAAUUCUGCAGGUCCAGAAAAUAUUCAUAUUUCUUUACUAAACUCAUCUGUUACAUGAGAUAAAUUUUGUUGACAUCAUUGGAUUAAGUAAUGAUUGCACAGUCAUAUGAGUAUAUUUAAGUUGAUACCAUUUUUUGAAAUAUUUCCUAGUCUCCUCUUAUAUUGAACUCUGAUUAAAGUACCAUUGUAUUCAGGAGAAUUUUGUUCUGUACGAGGACCAAAAUGUUUUAUUAUUUAUAUUUGCAGCAAUCAGGACUUCACUUUUGGAAUAAAACUUUUCUCAUUUAAUACAUUUGUUCUCUAUAUAGAAUUUUUUCUUCUGCUUGCAAAUAUACUUAAAUGAUUUUAGAUAAAAGUUCAUAUAUUGAAGAGACUAGGAAGGCUUGCAAAAAGUGGUAUAAACAUUAAACGGUAUUCUAUGGAAAUUUAAGGCUAUUGAGUUUUGAAUAUAGGGUAGUGUCUUGUGUAAAAGAUAACUAAUAAAUAUUCAUACUUUCUGAACCUAUGCACUAGUAGUGUUGGGCGAUGGAGACAUUGCUGGUUGGCGGGUGGGGCAUCUAGUGUCUUUACUUUGCUAAGAGCUAGGGACCAUAGUUUUUCUGCUUUCAGGGUGGGAGUCUGACCUAAGAUCAAUUCCUUCUUCCAGGGAUAUUUGUAGUGGGUAUGUAAUGAAGGAGAUGUUGAUAUAGGCAGGUUUAUUCUGUAGUUACAAAACUGCCACAGGGCUAUGAAAAAGAAUUAAGUGGAGAGUCUUCCAAGCUCUUAGUGUAUUUUUCAGCUUAACCAGCCAACAGCCAGCCAGCCCAGCUUGUAGAACUAGAAAGUGAUCCCUCCACACCAAGGAAUGGAGGGACAACCAGUAGAAAAUGUCACAAUGGUCACGUAGUCGCUGCCGCUGAACUGGUGCCACUUGCAGUGCCCACCUCAUCAUCUACCUCAGGUCCGCGGGGCCUGAAAUAAAUUUCCUGUGUACUCAUUUUUUCAGUUAUUCGGAACAUUAUCAGAUAAGGAGGAAACACUCAUGCUGGUGUGCGUUACAAGCCAUGAUACACUGGUUCACUAACCUUUAGUUCCUCAAGUUGGAAAUUGUCACCUAAUGUCAUCAGUCUGAGUGUUGCCGAUUGGUUCAGGUGGUGCUUCUCUUCCUGGAUCACAUUGCUUUGCUGAUAACUGCUACAAAUACAAACGGCAUUUCUACCCACACCACAUUACUAGUUGUCUCUUUAGCCUUCUUUUUCAUGGCGAUGGACAGUGCUUCCACGACUUUUCCUGCUCCCGACACUUUUCAGCAGUUUCAGUGUCCCACUUUUGGUAGGUAACUAUCUAUAUGGUCCACUAGAGCACUGGUUAGGCAGUAGUGUCUAGCAUUUGCCUCAUGGUCGUUGAUUGUGGUGUCCAGUCCUUGCUUGCUGAAGACAAAGUAGCUGCAGUCACUGCAUAGUAUUCUAGUGCACAAUAGUUAUUUUUUGUCCUGUUCUUUUUCUUUCACUAGUUUUCUGACAUUGGUACACUGAUGUAACGAGUACACUGUAGUGUUUGUAAUCAGAAAUGGACACUGCAAACACACUGAGACAUUAGUUUAAUUUAUUCUGGAUACUAUUAGUACUGUUAUAUUCAGGAUUAAUUUUUUAGUAAUGGAUUGAAAAUUCUCUCCUUCCUCAUCCACUAUUGUGUCACUAGUCUGGUAAUGUAAUUUUAUGAAGUUUGCCAGAAUAGUGAGUAAAGAUUCAAUGAGUAACUAGACAAAUUUUAGCCCUUUCAUUAUGAAAACAUCUUGAAUAUGUGAAAUCCUAAUUGUAUCCAGAAUGAAAUGAAACUGAUGUCUUACUGUGUCCAGCUCUGGUUAUAAACACUAGGGUGUUCAAUAUAUCACAGUGUAGCAGUAUCUGAAAACUAGUUUAAGAAAAAGAACAGGUCAAAUAGACUAUUAUGUAUAGAUUACUAUGCAACAAUUGACAGCAGGGACUAGACAUCACACUCAUUGAGCAUGAGGCAACUGCAAGACACCUGCCAAACUGGUGCUUGAUUGGACCAUGUAGAUAGUCACUUACCAAAGUGGGAUAGUGAAACUGUCCUGAAAAGUGGCCUGAGCAGGAAAGAAUAGUUGUGGAAGCACCGUCCAUCACCAUGAGUAAGAACACGGACAAGAGAACUGGUAAUGUGGUGCAGGCAGCGAUGUAGUGUUCAUUUCUGUAGCAGCCAUCAACAGAGCACCAGGAGUCAAGGAGAGGAUGAGUGCCUGGACCAAUCAGCAACAUUCAGAGUUGACGAAGGGUGACGACCUUCAACAAGGUGGCUGGGUUUCCCACAUGACCUGGCUGUUAAGUCAUGCCAGCACCAGUUUCCUCAAUUUCCUUGAAGUAAUAAUAGCAAAUUAAUUUGGAAAACUUAACCUCACUGCAUCAGUAUUUCCUAUACCUUCCUUUUCCAUUAUUAUAGUCCAUUCACUUAAGCUAAGUAAAGAAUCUUUAAUAUUUUUUUAACCUAGACUGUUGAUUUUGCAUUGUCAAUACAUUAGUAUUGUUGCAAGAGUGCUCAACUGCUCAUGGUUGUGUUCAUCAGGGUAUUUUAAGUAACCAUCUGAUAAUCUAAAACAACAUUACAGUUGUUUUGGGUUAUUGUAAUUGACCUCUCCUGUUUUCUGUACCCAUGGAAAUAAAUGCUCAAAAUCUA